AUUGAACGCUGGCGGCAUGCUUUACACAUGCAAGUCGAACGCGUGUAGCAAUACACGAGUGGCGCACGGGUGAGUAACGCGUGGAUAUCUGCCUUUUGGUUCGGAAUAACUCCGGGAAACUGGAGCUAAUACCGGAUGGUUCCUACGGGAUAAAGAUUUAUCGCCAAAAGAUGAGUCCGCGUACGAUUAGCUAGUUGGUGGGGUAAUGGCCCACCAAGGCGACGAUCGUUAGCUGGUCUGAGAGGACGAUCAGCCACACUGGGACUGAGACACGGCCCAGACUCCUACGGGAGGCAGCAGUGGGGAAUAUUGGACAAUGGGGGCAACCCUGAUCCAGCCAUGCCGCGUGAGUGAUGAAGGCCUUCGGGUUGUAAAGCUCUUUUGGCGGGGACGAUGAUGACGGUACCCGCAGAAUAAGCCCCGGCUAACUUCGUGCCAGCCGCCGCAGUAAAAC
rnacentral:rRNA from 1 species